UACAGAGGGUGCAAGCGUUGUUCGGAAUUACUGGGCGUAAAGGGCUCGUAGGCGGCCAACUAAGUCAGACGUGAAAUCCCCAGGCUUAACCUGGGAACUGCGUCUGAUACUGGAUGGCUUGAAUUCGGGAGAGGGAUGCAGAAUUCCAGGUGUAGCGGUGAAAUGCGUAGAUAUCUGGAGGAACACCGGUGGCGAAGGCGGGUCUCUGGGCCGAUACUGACGCUGAGGAGCGAAAGCGUGGGGAGCGAACAGG
rnacentral:rRNA from 1 species